GAUGAACGCUGGCGGCGUGCUUAACACAUGCAAGUCGAACGAAGCAUUUAGAACUGAUUUCUUCGGAAUGAAGUUUUUUAUGACUGAGUGGCGGACGGGUGAGUAACGCGUGGGUAACCUGCCUUAUACAGGGGGAUAACAGUUGGAAACGACUGCUAAUACCGCAUAAGCGCACAGUAUCGCAUGAUACAGUGUGAAAAACUCCGGUGGUAUAAGAUGGACCCGCGUCUGAUUAGCUAGUUGGUGAGGUAAUGGCUCACCAAGGCGACGAUCAGUAGCCGACCUGAGAGGGUGACCGGCCACAUUGGGACUGAGACACGGCCCAAACUCCUACGGGAGGCAGCAGUGGGGAAUAUUGCACAAUGGGGGAAACCCUGAUGCAGCGACGCCGCGUGGAGGAUGACGUAUUUCGGUAUGUAAACUCCUAUCAGCAGGGAAGAAAAUGACGGUACCUGACUAAGAAGCCCCGGCUAACUACGUGCCAGCCGCCGCCGUAACAC
rnacentral:rRNA from 1 species